ensembl:lncRNA
ACUGAGAAUUUUUUUUCAAAAUAUCUUCUUUUGUGUUCCACAGAAGUAGUGGGGUCAUGGAACGACAUGAAGGUGAGUAAAUGAUUUUUCAUUUUACAGUGAACUAUCCCUUUAAAUUGCUUAAACAUAGUUAUGUACUUUUUGUCAGUAAUUUGCAACCAGCCACUUUUUUAAAAGAACAGUUCAAUACUUGAAAUUAUGACUUAUUCUUCCUCUUAUCUUCUAACUUGACAAGCUAUGGUUAAAAGUACACUGGCUACGUGAAAUGUACUAAAAGUUGAGUGCUUAGCCAAUCAGGGAUGGCGUAACAGUCUGUGAGCUUUACCUUGGGGAGCAGGAAAUGAGCAGUUUGAGGGCUGCAGCACAAUGGACACAGGUCGAGCUCCACAAUCCGUCUCUGCCUCUGUGUUUCCUCCCUCAAAUAACAGCAGCCAUGUGCAGAGCCGUCACACCCUCGCCAUCACAAUCCUGUAGGCAUAGAUGCAUAUCAUCAUCCAGUAGGCCUAUACCCAGUUUAAAGGCAUCGGAAUUAUGGGUAUGCCACUGCAGCUCCCGCACGUGCCUGCUGGCAGCAGCAUCAUGGGCGGCCGUGGCACCGUUCUUCGUGUGAGUGUGGCAAGGGAAACAACCUUCUUUCACCAGAAAAUCCAGGCAGUCCAGUUGCCCGCAGCGGGCGGCGUGGUGGACAGGUGAAGCUCUCUGGGCAUCUGAUGGUUGGACUGAGACAUCCGGACUCAUGCAGGGCCCUCAAAGCCUCCACAUCCCUCUCACGAGUGGCCUGAACAGCCCUGUGGAGCACCAUGCUAGACCUCGGCCAGUCAGAACAGAAGUGGCAGGGGACCUUGGGCUGUAGCCAUCUGUCUCUCUCGGCUCUCGCUCCCUCUCUAAAAUGAUACCUGAGCUUGCUGACAGAUGUCCAUGGGAGAAAUGAAGGGGGUGUAUAAGCACUAGGCCAGAAAUUUAACUAGAGCCCUCAUGUGAAAACAUAAAUCUGCUAAUAUUCCCUGA